GGGUUGUGAGGUUAAGCGACUAAGCGUACACGGUGGAUGCCCUGGCAGUCAGAGGCGAUGAAGGACGUGCUAAUCUGCGAUAAGCGUCGGUAAGGUGAUAUGAACCGUUAUAACCGGCGAUUUCCGAAUGGGGAAACCCAGUGUGUUUCGACACACUAUCAUUAACUGAAUCCAUAGGUUAAUGAGGCGAACCGGGGGAACUGAAACAUCUAAGUACCCCGAGGAAAAGAAAUCAACCGAGAUUCCCCCAGUAGCGGCGAGCGAACGGGGAGCAGCCCAGAGCCUGAAUCAGUGUGUGUGUUAGUGGAAGCGUCUGGAAAGGCGCGCGAUACAGGGUGACAGCCCCGUACACAAAAAUGCACAUGCUGUGAGCUCGAUGAGUAGGGCGGGACACGUGGUAUCCUGUCUGAAUAUGGGGGGACCAUCCUCCAAGGCUAAAUACUCCUGACUGACCGAUAGUGAACCAGUACCGUGAGGGAAAGGCGAAAAGAACCCCGGCGAGGGGAGUGAAAAAGAACCUGAAACCGUGUACGUACAAGCAGUGGGAGCCUCUUUUAUGGGGUGACUGCGUACCUUUUGUAUAAUGGGUCAGCGACUUAUAUUCUGUAGCAAGGUUAACCGAAUAGGGGAGCCGAAGGGAAACCGAGUCUUAACUGGGCGUUAAGUUGCAGGGUAUAGACCCGAAACCCGGUGAUCUAGCCAUGGGCAGGUUGAAGGUUGGGUAACACUAACUGGAGGACCGAACCGACUAAUGUUGAAAAAUUAGCGGAUGACUUGUGGCUGGGGGUGAAAGGCCAAUCAAACCGGGAGAUAGCUGGUUCUCCCCGAAAGCUAUUUAGGUAGCGCCUCGUGAAUUCAUCUCCGGGGGUAGAGCACUGUUUCGGCAAGGGGGUCAUCCCGACUUACCAACCCGAUGCAAACUGCGAAUACCGGAGAAUGUUAUCACGGGAGACACACGGCGGGUGCUAACGUCCGUCGUGAAGAGGGAAACAACCCAGACCGCCAGCUAAGGUCCCAAAGUCAUGGUUAAGUGGGAAACGAUGUGGGAAGGCCCAGACAGCCAGGAUGUUGGCUUAGAAGCAGCCAUCAUUUAAAGAAAGCGUAAUAGCUCACUGGUCGAGUCGGCCUGCGCGGAAGAUGUAACGGGGCUAAACCAUGCACCGAAGCUGCGGCAGCGACGCUGAUGCGUUGUUGGGUAGGGGAGCGUUCUGUAAGCCUGUGAAGGUGUGCUGUGAGGCAUGCUGGAGGUAUCAGAAGUGCGAAUGCUGACAUAAGUAACGAUAAAGCGGGUGAAAAGCCCGCUCGCCGGAAGACCAAGGGUUCCUGUCCAACGUUAAUCGGGGCAGGGUGAGUCGACCCCUAAGGCGAGGCCGAAAGGCGUAGUCGAUGGGAAACAGGUUAAUAUUCCUGUACUUGGUGUUACUGCGAAGGGGGGACGGAGAAGGCUAUGUUGGCCGGGCGACGGUUGUCCCGGUUUAAGCGUGUAGGCUGGUUUUCCAGGCAAAUCCGGAAAAUCAAGGCUGAGGCGUGAUGACGAGGCACUACGGUGCUGAAGCAACAAAUGCCCUGCUUCCAGGAAAAGCCUCUAAGCAUCAGGUAACAUCAAAUCGUACCCCAAACCGACACAGGUGGUCAGGUAGAGAAUACCAAGGCGCUUGAGAGAACUCGGGUGAAGGAACUAGGCAAAAUGGUGCCGUAACUUCGGGAGAAGGCACGCUGAUAUGUAGGUGAAGUCCCUCGCGGAUGGAGCUGAAAUCAGUCGAAGAUACCAGCUGGCUGCAACUGUUUAUUAAA
rnacentral:rRNA from 1 species